rnacentral:misc_RNA from 1 species
GAUGAAGAACGUAGCGAAAUGCGAUAAGUAAUGUGAAUUGCAGAAUUCAGUGAAUCAUCGAAUCUUUGAACGCACAUUGCGCCCGCUAGUAUUCUGGCGGGCAUGCCUGUCCGAGCGUCAUUUCAACCCUCAAGCCCCUCCGGGGGCCUGGCGUUGGGGAUCGGCCCCGCUCCGGCGGCCGGCCCCGAAAUGUAGUGGCGGUCUCGCCGCUGCCUCCUCUGCGUAGUAGAAACACCUCGCAUUGGGACGCGGCGGGCCCACGCCGUUAACCAGAUGAAUUUUUUCAAGGUUGACCUCGGAUCAGGUAGGAAUACCCGCUGAACUUAAGCAUAUCAAUAAGCGGAGGA